UACAUGCAAGUCGAACGAACUCUGGUAUUGAUUGGUGCUUGCAUCAUGAUUUACAUUUGAGUGAGUGGCGAACUGGUGAGUAACACGUGGGAAACCUGCCCAGAAGCGGGGGAUAACACCUGGAAACAGAUGCUAAUACCGCAUAACAACUUGGACCGCAUGGUCCGAGUUUGAAAGAUGGCUUCGGCUAUCACUUUUGGAUGGUCCCGCGGCGUAUUAGCUAGAUGGUGAGGUAACGGCUCACCAUGGCAAUGAUACGUAGCCGACCUGAGAGGGUAAUCGGCCACAUUGGGACUGAGACACGGCCCAAACUCCUACGGGAGGCAGCAGUAGGGAAUCUUCCACAAUGGACGAAAGUCUGAUGGAGCAACGCCGCGUGAGUGAAGAAGGGUUUCGGCUCGUAAAACUCUGUUGUUAAAGAAGAACAUAUCUGAGAGUAACUGUUCAGGUAUUGACGGUAUUUAACCAGAAAGCCACGGCUAACUACGUGCCAGCAGCCGCGGUAAUACGUAGGUGGCAAGCGUUGUCCGGAUUUAUUGGGCGUAAAGCGAGCGCAGGCGGUUUUUUAAGUCUGAUGUGAAAGCCUUCGGCUCAACCGAAGAAGUGCAUCGGAAACUGGGAAACUUGAGUGCAGAAGAGGACAGUGGAACUCCAUGUGUAGCGGUGAAAUGCGUAGAUAUAUGGAAGAACACCAGUGGCGAAGGCGGCUGUCUGGUCUGUAACUGACGCUGAGGCUCGAAAGUAUGGGUAGCAAACAGGAUUAGAUACCCUGGUAGUCCAUACCGUAAACGAUGAAUGCUAAGUGUUGGAGGGUUUCCGCCCUUCAGUGCUGCAGCUAACGCAUUAAGCAUUCCGCCUGGGGAGUACGGCCGCAAGGCUGAAACUCAAAGGAAUUGACGGGGGCCCGCACAAGCGGUGGAGCAUGUGGUUUAAUUCGAAGCUACGCGAAGAACCUUACCAGGUCUUGACAUACUAUGCAAAUCUAAGAGAUUAGACGUUCCCUUCGGGGACAUGGAUACAGGUGGUGCAUGGUUGUCGUCAGCUCGUGUCGUGAGAUGUUGGGUUAAGUCCCGCAACGAGCGCAACCCUUAUUAUCAGUUGCCAGCAUUAAGUUGGGCACUCUGGUGAGACUGCCGGUGACAAACCGGAGGAAGGUGGGGAUGACGUCAAAUCAUCAUGCCCCUUAUGACCUGGGCUACACACGUGCUACAAUGGAUGGUACAACGAGUUGCGAACUCGCGAGAGUAAGCUAAUCUCUUAAAGCCAUUCUCAGUUCGGAUUGUAGGCUGCAACUCGCCUACAUGAAGUCGGAAUCGCUAGUAAUCGCGGAUCAGCAUGCCGCGGUGAAUACGUUCCCGGGCCUUGUACACACCGCCCGUCACACCAUGAGAGUUUGUAACACCCAAAGUCGGUGGGGUAACCUUUUAGGAACCAGCCGCCU
rnacentral:rRNA from 1 species